CCUACGGGAGGCUGCAGUGAGGAAUAUUGGUCAAUGGACGAGAGUCUGAACCAGCCAAGUAGCGUGAAGGAUGACUGCCCUAUGGGUUGUAAACUUCUUUUAUAUGGGAAUAAAACGUUCCACGUGUGGGAUUUUGUAUGUACCAUAUGAAUAAGGAUCGGCUAACUCCGUGCCAGCAGCCGCGGUAAUACGGAGGAUCCGAGCGUUAUCCGGAUUUAUUGGGUUUAAAGGGAGCGUGGGUGGAUUGUUAAGUCAGUUGUGAAAGUUUGCGGCUGAACCGUAAAAUUGCAGUUGAAACUGGCAGUCUUGAGUACAGUAGAGGUGGGCGGAAUUCGUGGUGUAGCGGUGAAAUGCUUAGAUAUCACGAAGAACUCCGAUUGCGAAGGCAGUUCACUGGACUGCAACUGACACUGAGGCUCGAAAGUGUGGGUAUCAAACAGGAUUAGAUACCCGGGUAGUC
rnacentral:rRNA from 1 species